UCACCCCUCAAGCCCCCGGCUUGGUGUUGGACGGUCUGGUCCGGGGACCUCAAACCCCCCUGGACCCCUCCCAAAGACAAUGACGGCGGGCUGUUGAACCCCCGGUACACUGAGCAUCUUCACGGAGCACGUACCGGUCUCAAGGGUCGACGGCACCCGGUCUAUACCUAUAUUUUUCAA
rnacentral:misc_RNA from 1 species